GAGGUUAGGACUAGUAACAGGAGUUGUAGUGUUGGUGGAGGUUAGAACUAGUAACAGGGAUGUUGUAGUGUUGGUGGAGGUUAGGACUAGUAACAGGGAUGUUGUAGUGUUAGUGGAGGUUAGGACUAGUAACAGGGAUGUUGUGGUGUUAGUGGAGGUUAGGACUAGUAACAGGGAUGUUGUGGUUUAGUGGAGGUUAGGACUAGUAACAGGGAUGUUGUGGUG